rnacentral:rRNA from 1 species
GCACCCGCGGUAAUUCCAGCUCCAAUAGCGUAUAUUAAAGUUGUUGCAGUUAAAAAGCUCGUAGUUGGAUUUCUGCGAGGGUGCCAAUGUCCGCCGACGCGCGUGCGCAGCGGCGCCCUCGCAUCCUUCUGUUACCACCUCUCGGCAUUCACUUGCCGGUGGUCGGCUCAGAGAAUUUACCUUGAGAAAAUUAGAGUGUUUCAGGCAGGCUAGGCCGGAAUACAUUAGCAUGGAAUAAUGGAAUAGGACUACGGUCUCGUUGUUGGUUUGAGGGACUGCAGUAAUGAUUAAUAGGGAUAGUUGGGGGCAUUAGUAUUUAAUUGUCAGAGGUGAAAUUCUCAGAUUUGUUAAAGACUAACUUAUGCGAAAGCAUUUGCCAAGGAUGUUUUCAUUGAUCAAGAACGAAAGU